UACACUAAUCCAGCAGCUGCAUUGUCAUUAGAAUUUAUCAUUUGUUUAUAGAAUUAUUCCUUUUAGUAUUUGUUUUUAUUUUGUUUGGAUUUGAUAUCAGUGUAAACCCAACUAAAAAUAUUUCGUUUUUGUUUAAAAUGUAAUCGUGUAAAUGUGGCCUAAAUUAAAAAUACAUUUAAGGAAAUGUAGGAAGCUCUAUGUCCAUGGAUAAUGAACUAAAGGCUCCAUUUCUAGGCUGCUGAAGUUGAGGCUGAAGGCUCUGGACUUAUGAGUAAUUUGAUCUAAUUGAUAAUCAUGGUGUGUGCAUACGAGUGUUAGGUGAUAUUAAAUUAUUACCAACUGAUGUACAAGAAUCAGUAGCAAGAGCUGUGAUCAUGACUAAAAACAAU